rnacentral:rRNA from 1 species
GUAACCUACGGGAGUCAGCAGUGGGGAAUAUUGCACAGUGGGGGAAACCCUGAUGCAGCGACGCCGCGUGAGUGAAGAAGUAUUUCGGUAUGUAAAGCUCUAUCAGCAGGGAAGAUAAUGACGGUACCUGACUAAGAAGCUCCGGCUAAAUACGUGCCAGCAGCCGCGGUAAUACGUAUGGAGCAAGCGUUAUCCGGAUUUACUGGGCGUAAAGCGAGUGCAGGCGGGUCAAUAAGUC